GUCGAGAAUCUUUCACAAUGGGGGCAACCCUGAUGGAGCGACGCCGCGUGGAGGAUAAGGUCUUCGGAUUGUAAACUCCUGUCAUGCGUGAACAAGGUUGCUUGGUUAAUACCUGGGCAAAUUGAUGGUAACGCAAGAGGAAGAGACGGCUAACUCUGUGCCAGCAGCCGCGGUGAUACAGAGGUCUCAAGCGUUGUUCGGAAUCACUGGGCGUAAAGGGUGCGUAGGUGGCGUGGUAAGUCAGAUGUGAAAGCCCGGGGCUCAACCUCGGAACUGCAUCCGAUACUGCCAUGCUAGAGUACUGGAGAGGUGACUAGAAUUCUCGGUGUAGCAGUGAAAUGCGUAGAUAUCGAGAGGAAUACCAAAGGCGUAGGCAGGUCACUGGACAGUUACUGACACUGAGGCACGAAGGCCAGGGGAGCGAACGGGAUUAGAAACCCUAGUAGUCC
rnacentral:rRNA from 1 species